rnacentral:rRNA from 1 species
GAUGAACGCUAGCUACAGGCUUAACACAUGCAAGUCGAGGGGUAACGAGAGGAAAGCUUGCUUUCCUUGUCGACGACCGGCGCACGGGUGAGUAACGCGUAUCCAACCUGCCCCCAACUAAGGAAUAACCUUGCGAAAGUAAGACUAAUACCUUAUAAUUUCCUCAGAUGUCAUCCGACGAGGAAUCAAGAUGUAUCAGUUGUGGAUGGGGAUGCGUCUGAUUAGCGUGUUGGCGGGGUAACGGCCCACCAAGGCGACGAUCAGUAGGGGUUCUGAGAGGAAGGUCCCCCACAUUGGAACUGAGACACGGUCCAAACUCCUACGGGAGGCAGCAGUGAGGAAUAUUGGUCAAUGGGCGAAAGCCUGAACCAGCCAAGUAGCGUGCAGGAUGACGGCCCUAUGGGUUGUAAACUGCUUUUAUACAGGAAUAAAGUUAGCCACGUGUGGUUAUUUGUAGGUACUGUAUGAAUAAGGACCGGCUAAUUCCGUGCCAGCAGCCGCCGCGG